CUGGUUCCUCCUCCGCAGAACCCCGCCUCCACUCACUCCUCCUCCGCCUCCAGCGCCACCUCGUAUCUCCUCAAUCCCGGCAUGUCCUGGGCUCCGAGCGUCUCCUGGGGAGCGGCAUGGUUGGGUCAAGGAGCCCUCCCAGCCCCAGGUCCCCUUCUCCGGCCUUUUCAGGACGAGUCUGACUAGCUCUCAGAAACUAUGUGCUGGUCCCUCUAGGCCUCUCUCCUCCUACUCCAGUUUACCCCCUCCUGGCAAGCGAAUCAGUCCAGUAAGAAGAUGAGAACUGCCACACAGGAGGCCACGGGAUGGAUGGAGAUGGAUAAGUGGGCAGAAUCCCUGGGAGCAGCAGGCCCUUGGAUCACAUCAGAGUUCAGCCUGAGAGAUCAGAUGACUCCAGAAGGAGGCUGGUUACCAGAAAGACCAACUAUGUGUCUAGGAGGUGGGGAUGUUGAGCCAGCAUGACAACCUCUAGGGAGUGGAGAAGGAUUGGGGAUUGCAUUCACCUGUGACCAACAGUUUAGUCAUGGCUACAUAAUGAAAUCACAAUAAAAAAUCUGAACACCAAAGCUCAUAGAACCUCCUGGUUUGUGAACACAUUGAUGUAUUGGGAGGGUGGCACACUCUGUCUCCCCAGAGAGGGAGAGACAGCACAAACAUCUGCAUUUGAGACUCUUCCAGACUUCAUCCUACGUGUCUCUUCAUUUGGCUGUUCCUGAUAUAUAUCCUUUAUAAAAAAUUGUAAGUGGGGCCAGCGUUGCCCAGCGGGUUAAGCCACCACCUGCAACACCAGUAUCACAUAUGCACACCAGUUUGAGUCCAGGCUGCUCCACUUCAAUCUAGCUCCCCACUAAUGAACCUAGGAAGGCAGAAGAAGAUGGCCCAAGUACUUGGGCCCCUGCCACCAAUAUGGGAGACCCAGA